AGUGAACGCUGGCGGCAUGCCUUACACAUGCAAGUCGAACGGCAGUACGGGUGCUUGCACCUGGUGGCGAGUGGCGAACGGGUGAGUAAUACAUCGGCACAUGUCCUGUAGUGGGGGAUAGCCCGGCGAAAGCCGGAUUAAUACCGCAUACGAUCCACGGAUGAAAUCGAGGGACCUUCGGGCCUCGCGCUUCAGGGUUGGCCGAUGUCUGAUCAGCUAGUUGGUGGUGUAAAGGUCUACCAAGGCGACGAUCAGUAGCUGGUCUGAGAGGACGACCAGCCAGACUGGGACUGAGACACGGCCCAGACUCCGACGGGAGGCAGCAGUGGGGAAUUUUGGACAAUGGAGGAAAGCCUGAUCCAGCAAUGCCGGGUGUAUGAAGAAGGCCUUCUGGUUGUAAAGCACUUUUGUCCGGAAAGUUAUCCAUGGCUCUAAUACGGGCGGGGGAUGACGGUACCGGAAGAAUAAGCACCGGCUAACUACGUG
rnacentral:rRNA from 1 species